rnacentral:rRNA from 1 species
UUGGAGGGCAAGUCUGGUGCCAGCAGCCGCGGUAAUUCCAGCUCCAAUAGCGUAUAUUAAAGUUGUUGCAGUUAAAAAGCUCGUAGUUGAAUUUCGGGAUCAAUAUGUCGGUCGUGCCUUCGGUACGUACUGGCAUCAUUGGUUUCUCCCUUCUGACAAACCAUGAUGUCAUUAAUUUGGUGUUAUGGGGAGUUAGGACUGUUACUUUGAAAAAAUUAGAGUGUUUAAAGCAGGCAUUAGCUUGAAUACAUUAGCAUGGAAUAAUGAAAUAGGACGUUUGACCCUAUUUUGUUGGUUUCUAGGAUCGACGUAAUGAUUAAUAGGGAUAGUUGGGGGCAUUAGUAUUCAAUUGUCAGAGGUGGAAUUCUUGGAUUUAUUGAAGACUAACUACUGCGAAAGCAUUUGCCAAGGAUGUUUUCAUUAAUCAAGAACGAAAGUUAGGGGAUCGAAGACGAUCAGAUACCGUCGUAGUCUUAACCAUAAACUAUGCCGACUAGGGAUCGGAUGAUGUUAAUUUUUUAAUGACUCAUUCGGCGCCUUACGGGAAAC